rnacentral:rRNA from 1 species
AAUUAAGCCAUGCAUGUCUAAGCACAAAGUCCUAGUAUGAUGAAGCUGCGAACGGCUCAUUACAACAGUUAUAAUCUUUUUGAUGAAGUACGUACAAGGAUAUCUUUGAGAAUGUCAAAGCUAAUACUUGACGGUUUUCACCCCUUGUCGAGUCCAUUCCCUCUGGGAGUGUAAUCGAUGAGGGCGGGGGAUGCUUCACGUAUCCUCUACAUAUUACCACUUUUUUUUGAAUGAGGGUGGAAUAUAUGCCAAGAGAAUUGUAGAAAUCGAGAGAUUUUCACAAGUCAUCAUUAAGAAUAUCUGACCUAUCAACUGGUUGUUGGUAAGGUAGUGGCUUACCAAGGUGAUAACGGGUAACGAGGAAUAAGGGUUCGACAUCGGAGAGGGAGCUUUAGAGAUGGCUACCACUUCUAAGGAAGGCAGCAGGCGCGAAAAUUACCCAAUCUUAACAAAUGAAGGAGGUAGUGACGACAAUUAACGCUAUCCUCGUCUUUUGGCGAGGAUCGUCGGAAUGAUUUCGAUUUAAAAUAUCGAAAGAAAGCAAUUGGAGGGCAAGUCUGGUGCCAGCAGCCGCGGUAAUUCCAGCUCCAAUAGUGUAUUGUAAAGUUGUUGUGAUUAAAACGCUCGUAGUUGAAUGAAAACAAUCGGGACAUGAUUUACGAUCUCUCCUCCAUACGGUGGAUUCGUCCAUUAGGUUGAGUUGAUCAAAAAUCAAACAAUGUCCUACUAUAAGCGAGAGGGUGGAAUUAAUUCCAAACUCUUUUACUUUGAUUAAAUCAAGGUGCUUAAAGCAAAAUCUUCUGUUAACGAAUGAUGAAGCAUGGUAUAGAAUUAAAACAGAACAGAAAGAAUAACGAAUAAAUGGAGAUGGGCAACCAUUCGAAAUUUAUUUAUUUUUGUUUUGUUUAAAACAAGGUUAAGAGAAAUGAUUAGGGUGAUUUAGAUAGGAACGGGAGAGGUGGAAUUCCAUGAUCGUUUCGAGAUAAACGAGAGCGAAAGCAUUUCACUGAAUUCAUUUCAUUAAUCAAGAACGAAAGUCAGGGAAUCAAAGACGAUUAGAUACCGUCGUAGUCCUGACCAUAAACGAUGUCAACUAAGGAUUGGAUAAGAAACAUCGAAGUAUGAGCCUUUUUCUCCAACUUGUUGGAAAAAAAGCGUUUCGCUUCAUUUCUUCCCUUAUUCAGGACUUGAUGAGAAAUCAUUAAGUGAAUGGACUUCAGGGGGAGUAUGGUCACAAGGCUGAAACUUAAAGGAAUUGACGGAAGGGCACACCAGGAGUGGAGCCUGCGGCUUAAUUUGACUCAACACGGGAAAACUUACCAAGACCAAACGGUGUAAGGAAUGACAGAUUACUGGGUCUUUCAUGAUUCAUCGGGGAGU